GAAUGUUGUCUAGGCUAGCUAGCUAUUACUUGAAAUUGUUAUUGCUUCUUUACUGCUUGCUUAAAUCUCAUCCUCUGAAUUCUUAUCAGUGCUUUUAAAAAUAUUUGUUCUAUUCUCAUGAUAUUAGUUCUUAAUUUCCAUGUAUGUCCUUAUCUAAUGUGUAUCAUUAAAAUUAAUCUUGUAAAGUCGAAUUGUACUUGUGUCUGCAGGUUUUUGGAAUAGAUACAAUGGUGGAUAUUGCAACAUGAUGUUGCAGAAAAUUGCUUUUGUUUUGAUCAAUAUAUUGUGCUUUUAAAAAAAACAAUAAAACAUGAUGUAUUUUAUAUUUUAAGCUUGU
rnacentral:lncRNA from 1 species